rnacentral:rRNA from 1 species
GACGAACGCUGGCGGCGUGCCUAAUACAUGCAAGUUGAGCGCUGAAGGUUGGUACUUGUACCAACUGGAUGAGCAGCGAACGGGUGAGUAACGCGUGGGGAAUCUGCCUUUGAGCGGGGGACAACAUUUGGAAACGAAUGCUAAUACCGCAUAAAAACUUUAAACACAAGUUUUAAGUUUGAAAGAUGCAAUUGCAUCACUCAAAGAUGAUCCCGCGUUGUAUUAGCUAGUUGGUGAGGUAAAGGCUCACCAAGGCGAGGAUACAUAGCCGACCUGAGAGGGUGAUCGGCCACAUUGGGACUGAGACACGGCCCAAACUCCUACGGGAGGCAGCCGUAGGGAAUCUUCGGCAAUGGACGAAAGUCUGACCGGGCAACGCCGCGUGAGUGAAGAAGGUUUUCGGAUCGUAAAACUCUGUUGGUAGGGAAGAACGUUGGUGAGAGUGGAAAGCUCAUCAAGUGACGGUAACUACCCAGAAAGGGACGGCUAACUACGUG